rnacentral:rRNA from 1 species
AUUGAACGCUGGCGGCAUGCCUAACACAUGCAAGUCGAGCGAGCGGCGGGCGGGUGAGUAAUGUAUGGGGACUGCCCGUUUGAGGGGGAUAACUACUGGAAACGGUAGCUAAUACAGCAUACUAUCGGAGAACCCACAUGGGAUUAGCUAGUAGGUGAGGUAAUGGCUCACCUAGGCGACGAUCCCUAGCUGGACUGAGAGGAUGAUCAGCCACACUGAGACUGAGACACGGCCCAGACGCCUACGGCGGCAGCAGUGGGGAAUAUUGAACAAGGGGCGCAAGCCUGAUGCAGCCAGGCCGAGUGUAUGAAGAAGGCCCUAGGGUUGUAAAGUACUUUCAGUCGGGAGGCGUUACCGACAGAAGAAGCACCGGCUAACUCCGUGCCAGCAGCCGCGGUAAUUC